UAUUAUAUAUAUGAGCGUGUUUGAUAUUAUGGUUUUAGCAAAAAAAAAAAAAACUAAAAGCAAUUUUGAAUAACAAGUAAGUGAAAUAAUUGGGAGUAAUGACUGAAGAAAUAAAAAUUUUUUUGACAGAUUGUUGUAAUGAAAUUUCAAAUAAUUUUUUAUGCAGUAACUAUUUUUAUAGUUUCAUCAGAUAGAGAUAAAUCGAAUAUCGAAACUGCUGUUGUGUAUCUCUGAACCUUGAUAUAUUUAUUUAACGUCACUAAUUGCGAGUUGAUUAUUUUAAAAUGGAGUUUAUAAAUCGUCAAGUUUUUUGGAGAUGAUUUUGUUUCCGUUACAAUGAUGAAGAGUAAAAAAUUAUUUGGAAAUAUGUCUUUAAUGUCACGUUGCUCGCUUUUUAUCUCAGGCGUUUUGAUUUUUCUCCCUGUUGUUAAAGUUACGCAUUUAAAAGAUUUUUAUGAUGAAAUGAUGCACAAGUAUUAUUAUAAAAAAAUGUAUAAGAAUCAGGACAAGUACAAAUGUGGCGCGCAUUUAUACCCAGACAAUUAUAAUAUUUACAAGAGUGUUUUUUUUGAAAUGAAGAAAAAAGACUGAGUUUAAUUUUAAAAAGACGCUUAUUCUGCAUGUAAAUUUGUAAAAAAAUUAUUUCUUUACAUACAUUAAUAUUUAUUAACUUAUUAAUAAAGUUCAAUAUUUAUUCUA